CAAGAGUCCUGGUUACACGGGCUAGUUUAGUUACAGUUGACACUUAUAAGAGCUGCUUCUGAUUCCAGAUGCUUAUUUGACAGAGAACAGCCAGACGACUUCAUCUCCGCUUACGGCAGGAGUCUCUACAAUAAUGGACAAAAACAAAGGGGUUUUAGUAUGUGGCGCUUCAAUUAUGAAGGAUGUCUGGGAAAUCAGACUGAGGGAGUAUCGACAGAAAUGGCAGCUGGAAGAGGAGAGGAUACGGAAGAGUGCUCUGGAAAGAAUCAAUCAGGAUUGGACGGCACGCAUGUCCUACAAGAUAAAAACCCCUAAAAGACUGGAGAGAAAAGCAAAGCUUCCUGAAGAAUCGACUCUUGAUGCACACAAGGCUAAAAAGACGCACCUUUGCAGGCCUCUAGGCUUCCAGAGCAGUCGGAUUCAAAGGCAGGUUGACUCGACGAAAACUACAAAAGCCAAUAAACUGGUCCUGUUACGUCAGCUCAAUGAAAGCUGCCCGGGGUUGAUGGUGUGGGCGAAGUCUUGGAAGUUUUCUCAACCUUUGCCGCAACCUGAAGAAAGUCCUCGUGCGUUCAACUGGGGGCAGUCAUGGAAGUUUCUCAAUUUUCAGCCAAGCACUGAUGGUAAACCAUGGUUUGAUCUUGGGUUUGAGGCCAGCAACGAUAUGAGCUCCAAUGACACGUUUCUAUGGGAGAAACUCAGCAAAGCUUUAGACUCACAUUAAACAAGACCUGGUCACUCCAGAAUGGAAAAAGUCUUGGAUAUUCAGUCAGAAAAGAAAAGAGUUUCAUGAAAACAAAAAUAAAAGUGAUUGCAACAAAUUUUACA
ensembl:lncRNA